rnacentral:rRNA from 1 species
GAUGAACGCUGUCGGCGUGCCUAAUACAUGCAAGUCGAGCGAACAGAUGAGGAGCUUGCUCCUCUGACGUUAGCGGCGGACGGGUGAGUAACACGUGGAUAACCUACCUAUAAGACUGGGAUAACUUCGGGAAACCGGAGCUAAUACCGGAUAAUAUAUUGAACCGCAUGGUUCAAUAGUGAAAGACGGUUUUGCUGUCACUUAUAGAUGGAUCCGCGCCGCAUUAGCUAGUUGGUAAGGUAACGGCUUACCAAGGCAACGAUGCGUAGCCGACCUGAGAGGGUGAUCGGCCACACUGGAACUGAGACACGGUCCAGACUCCUACGGGAGGCAGCAGUAGGGAAUCUUCCGCAAUGGGCGAAAGCCUGACGGAGCAACGCCGCGUGAGUGAUGAAGGUCUUCGGAUCGUAAAACUCUGUUAUUAGGGAAGAACAAAUGUGUAAGUAACUAUGCACGUCUUGACGGUACCUAAUCAGAAAGCCACGGCUAACUACGUG